CCUAGUAGUGGGGGAUAACUACUCGAAAGAGUAGCUAAUACCGCAUGAGAUCCAAGGAUGAAAGCAGGGGACCUUCGGGCCUUGCGCUACUAGAGCGGCUGAUGGCAGAUUAGGUAGUUGGUGGGAUAAAAGCUUACCAAGCCGACGAUCUGUAGCUGGUCUGAGAGGACGACCAGCCACACUGGGACUGAGACACGGCCCAGACUCCUACGGGAGGCAGCAGUGGGGAAUUUAGGACAAUGGGCGAAAGCCUGAUCCAGCAAUGCCGCGUGCAGGAUGAAGGCCCUCGGGUUGUAAACUGCUUUUGUACGGAACGAAAAGACUCUCUCUAAUAAAGAGGGUUGAUGACGGUACCGUAAGAAUAAGCACCGGCUAACUACGUGCCAGCAGCCGCGGUAAUACNUAGGGUGCGAGCGUUAAUCGGAAUUACUGGGCGUAAAGCGUGCGCAGGCGGUUAUGUAANACAGAGGUGAAAUCCCCGGGCUCAACCUGGGAACGGCCUUUGUGACUGC
rnacentral:rRNA from 1 species